GGUUCCGUGGUGUAGUGGUUAUCACGCGUCAUUCACACUGCCGAGGUCGCCGGUUCAAUUCCGGCCGGAAUCA